rnacentral:rRNA from 1 species
UACGUAGGGAGCAAGCGUUGUCCGGAAUCAUUGGGCGUAAAGCGCGCGUAGGCGGCUUCGUAAGUCCGUUGUGAAAGUCAAAGGCUCAACCUUUGAAAGCCGAUGGAUACUGCGGAGCUAGAGUACGGAAGAGGCGAGUGGAAUUCCGGGUGUAGCGGUGGAAUGCGUAGAGAUCCGGAAGAACACCGGUGGCGAAGGCGGCCUGCUGGGCAGUAGCUGACGCUGAAGCGCGACAGCGUGGGGAGCAAACAGG